rnacentral:rRNA from 1 species
GACGAACGCUGGCGGCGUGCUUAACACAUGCAAGUCGAACGGAAAGGCCCUGCUUUUGUGGGGUGCUCGAGUGGCGAACGGGUGAGUAACACGUGAGUAACCUGCCCUUGACUUUGGGAUAACUUCAGGAAACUGGGGCUAAUACCGGAUAGGAGCUCCUGCUGCAUGGUGGGGGUUGGAAAGUUUCGGCGGUUGGGGAUGGACUCGCGGCUUAUCAGCUUGUUGGUGGGGUAGUGGCUUACCAAGGCUUUGACGGGUAGCCGGCCUGAGAGGGUGACCGGCCACAUUGGGAUUGAGAUACGGACCAGACUCAUACGGGAGGCAGCAGUGGGGAAUAUUGAACAAUGGGCGGAAGCCUGAUGCAGCAACGCCGCGUGCGGGAUGACGGCCGUCGGGUUGUAAACCGCUUUCGCCUGUGACGAAGCGUGAGUGACGGUAAUGGGUAAAGAAGCACCGGCUAACUACGUG